CAAUAAGCGGAGGAAAAGAAACCAACAGGGAUUGCCUCAGUAACGGCGAGUGAAGCGGCAACAGCUCAAAUUUGAAAUCUGGCCCCGUCGGGGUCCGAGUUGUAAUUUGUAGAGAGUGUUUCGGGUGAGACCACGGUCUAAGUUCAUUGGAACAUGGCGUCAUAGAGGGUGAGAAUCCCGUAUGUGACUGUGGCUCGAGCCCAUGUGAAGCCUCUUCGACGAGUCGAGUUGUUUGGGAAUGCAGCUCAAAAUGGGUGGUAAAUUUCAUCUAAAGCUAAAUACUGGCUGGAGACCGAUAGCGCACAAGUAGAGUGAUCGAAAGAUGAAAAGCACUUUGGAAAGAGAGUCAAACAGUACGUGAAAUUGUUGAAAGGGAAGCGCUUGCAACCAGACCUGUCCGUAGGUGAUCAGCCGCUGUUCUCAGCGGUGCACUCGCUCUGCGAUCAGGCCAGCAUCGGUUUCGGCGGUUGGAUAAAGGCCUUGGGAAUGUAGCUCCCUUCGGGGAGUCUUAUAGCCCUCGGUGCAAUGCGGCCAGCCGGGACCGAGGACCGCGCUUCGGCUAGGAUGCUGGCGUAAUGGUUGUAAGCGACCC
rnacentral:rRNA from 1 species